AGGGGAAUGGUGUUAACGGUAGCAUGGCGGUCUCCAAAACCGUUGGUGGGGGUUCAAAUCCCUCUUCCCCUGCCA
rnacentral:tRNA from 1 species